AUACGUAGGUGACAAGCGUUAUCCGGAUUUACUGGGCGUAAAGGGCGUGUAGGCGGUCUUGCAAGUCAGAAGUGAAAUUCCUGAGCUCAACUCGGGCGCUGCUUCUGAAACUGCAGGACUUGAGUGCUGGAGGGGAUAGCGGAAUUCCUAGUGGAGCGGUAAAAUGCGCAGAUAUUAGGCAGAACACCGGUGGCGAAGGCGGCUCCCUAAGCUGAAACUGACGCUCAUGCACGAAAGCGUGGGGAUCAAACAGGAGUAGAUACCCUGGUAUUCCACGCUGUAAACGAUGAUCACUCGUUGUUGGCGAUAUACUGUCAGCGACUGAGCGAAAGCAUUAAGUGAUCCACCUGGGGAGUACGGCGGCAACGUUGAAACUCAAAGGAAUUGACGGGG
rnacentral:rRNA from 1 species